rnacentral:tRNA from 1 species
GCCGAGGUCGCCUAAUGGUAUGGCACUGGUCUCGAAAACCAGCGGGCGCAAGCCCAUGUGGGUUCGACUCCCAUCCUCGGCG